rnacentral:rRNA from 1 species
AGAUGGAUCCCACCUCCGCCCGGGUCUGUGAAGAUACGAGUAGAUGGUGCAGUCUCAAGAAGCCAAAAUGAAGGAUCCUUCAGCGCGGUAUGUAGAGAUGCAUCGGGCCUAUACCUGGGCUCUUCUGCAAUCAGAGUCAGAGAUAUUACUGAUCCACCAACAUUGGAAGCGCUGGCAUGUCGAGAGGCGCUCGCUCUGGCACAGGACCUUGAAGUGGCUCAUGUGAUCAUCGCCUCAGAUUGCCAAGGGGUAAUCAAGGAUAUUCACAAACAGGAGGGAGGAAUGUAUGCAAGCAUAAUUAGGGAGAUUGGAGACACCGCAAGAACAAUCAACGACUGCACCUUCAUCUUCGAGGGUAGAGCUACAAAUAUUGAGGCACAUAGCCUUGCUAAGCACGUUUUUGGUCUGGAUUUCGGGCGCCAUGUGUGGCUUAUAAACCCGCCAGAUCUUCGUUGUAUCCCCAUAAACAUCUUUGAAUUCUAA